rnacentral:rRNA from 1 species
UGGGCGUAAGAGCUCGUAGGCGCGUUUGUCGCGUCUGCUGUCGAAAGCCCGGGGCUCAACCCCGGGUCUGCAGUGGGUACGGGCAGACUAGAGUGCAGUAGGGGAGAAUGGAAUUCCUGGUGUAGCGGUGAAAUGCGCAGAUAUCAGGAGGAACACCGAUGGCGAAGGCAGGUCUCUGGGCUGUAACUGACGCUGAGGAGCGAAAGCAUGGGGAGCGAACAGGAUUAGAUACCCUGGUAGUCCAUGCCGUAAACGUUGGGCACUAGGUGUGGGGGACAUUCCACGUUUUCCGCGCCGUAGCUAACGCAUUAAGUGCCCCGCCUGGGGAGUACGGCCGCAAGGCUAAAACUCAAAGGAAUUGACGGGGGCCCGCACAAGCGGCGGAGCAUGCGGAUUAAUUCGAUGCAACGCGAAGAACCUUACCAAGGCUUGACAUGGACCGGACCGCCGCAGAAAUGCGGUUUCCCUUCGGGGCUGGUUUACAGGUGGUGCAUGGUUGUCGUCAGCUCGUGUCGUGAGAUGUUGGGUUAAGUCCCGCAACGAGCGCAACCCUCGUUCUAUGUUGCCAGCGCGUUAUGGCGGGGACUCAUAGGAGACUGCCGGGGUCAACUCGGAGGAAGGUGGGGACGACGUCAAAUCAUCAUGCCCCUUAUGUCUUGGGCUUCACGCAUGCUACAAUGGCCGGUACAAAGGGUUGCGAUACUGUGAGGUGGAGCUAAUCCCAAAAAGCCGGUCUCAGUUCGGAUUGAGGUCUGCAACUCGACCUCAUGAAGUCGGAGUCGCUAGUAAUCGCAGAUCAGCAACGCUGCGGUGAAUACGUUCCCGGGCCUUGUACACACCGCCCGUCAAGUCACGAAAGUUGGUAACACCCGAAGCCGGUGGCCUAACCCCUUGUGGGAGGGAGCCGUCGAAGUGGGACCGGCGAUUGGGA